AGUGAACGCUGGCGGUAGGCCUAACACAUGCAAGUCGAACGGCAGCACAGUAAGAGCUUGCUCUUACGGGUGGCGAGUGGCGGACGGGUGAGGAAUACAUCGGAAUCUACUUUUUCGUGGGGGAUAACGUAGGGAAACUUACGCUAAUACCGCAUACGACCUACGGGUGAAAGCAGGGGAUCUUCGGACCUUGCGCGAUUGAAUGAGCCGAUGUCGGAUUAGCUAGUUGGCGGGGUAAAGGCCCACCAAGGCGACGAUCCGUAGCUGGUCUGAGAGGAUGAUCAGCCACACUGGAAGUGAGACACGGUCCAGACUCCGAAGGGAGGCAGCAGAGGGGAAUAUUGGACAAUGGGCGCAAGGCUGAUCCAGCCAUACCGCGUGGGUGAAGAAGGCCUUCGGGUUGUAAAGCCCUUUUGUUGGGAAAGAAAAGCAGCAGGUUAAUACCCCGCUGUUCUGACGGUACCCAAAGAAUAAGCACCGGCUAACUUCGUG
rnacentral:rRNA from 1 species